GGCCCGCCCCCGGACGUGACGAAAGGGGGUGCGCGGACCGAGGGGGGCCUGGCGCGCCCAGCCGCCGUUCCGAGUUGGUGGGGGUCUGUGUUGUGGGUCCGGGAUGAAGCGAGCGUGGAAAGGUGCCGGGUUCUCGAACGCUGUUUCUGUCCACUGCCACCGUCCUCCCCGUUCUGGGAGUGGGAUUAAGUCGUGUCUGUGGGUCUCGCCUUCUCCGGAUUCUGCAGCUUGGGGCCGAUUCCUCGGUCUCUACCUCCUGUUGCAGGUCCUUAAUCAUUCAACGGAGACAUGAUAACUUUAUUGGAUGGAGCAAUACUUCUUGCUAAGCAGCAUAUACACACCCAGUGACCUUGCAUGAAGAAGCAGCCUGUCUGCAGAAGAUUGCGUCUCAUCUAUACAAAGCAGGAGUGAUGUUGUCAAUGUGUGUGUGUGCAUGCAUUUAUGUAUCUGUAUGCUUGUGCAGAGAGGGGAAGAUGGGGGACGGGAUGUGGCUUUGUUACUUAGCUUGCUUGAUUUUUAUCCACAGUUAUUAAGAGGUAAAAUAUUGUAGCUCAACUGCUAGAAGUGGUCGUUUGCUUUACAGAGAGGAAAAUCUCUGCCCCAUUACCAUGGCUUGUACUUCCAGCCCCAAAAGGCAAAAAGAGAGAGCACGUAACUCAGUGGAAUCAAUAGCAUGACCAGAAAGUCAAUUCAGUCAUAUGAUGGUGGAUCAGUAUCAUCAUUGUAAAGGAGAUGAGAUCACUGUACUGUUAGAUGCAUCACUCUAACUUUCCCCCAUCACUGUGGAAAAAGGAGGGAAAAAAGCCCUCAAUCAUAAUAGGAAAGGCAAACAGUUUUUCAAACUUACAAACAUAUGUACAUGUCUUCCUCUGUAUCAUUUUAUAUAUGUUGUUUUUAUGUAUGUACCUGUACAAAAAGAUGUAAGUAUCACUUAACCUUGAGUAAUAUAAUACGUGUGAAUUCUAAUUAAUAGGUUUUAGUUCCACUAAGUAUUAAUAAUUAACGGUAACUUCGUUGAGUGUGAGAAUUCCACAAGGUUGCGUUAGAAUUCUGAAUGACAUUUUGUUUUUGCUUUAUUGGGCUUUGAUAUGUCAGACAAGAGAAUUCAACUUUUCUCCUGUGUGAAUGAAUUCAAUAGUCUGUUGAGAGAGAUGCCAGUUUUUAGGUUGCAUCCACCAUUUUUAUUUUUAGCUCCAUCUGUUGUCUUUUAUCAAGUUGCUGUUAAAACUCUGAUAAAAUACUUGGUUUGUAGCAUUGAUAUUGUCCCCACCAGCUUCCCUAAAAUGAGCUCUCCAGUUCUAAUCCCCAAACAUGUUUGAAUUUGUCUCCAGUUGACAUCCAAAAGUCUCAUCUUCCUGGAUUUCCUUCCUCCUCUGGCCCCCUCUGCCGUUUCCCACUCUCCCAGUUCCUAGCAUCUCCCUGACCCUUGGGUUAGAGCCCAGAUGGACCACUGAAUCCAACCUGGGAAAAUGACAGGAAGUACGUGCAUUCUUCAAAGUGAUGCAUUUGCUGUUAUUGAGCAUCUAUUUUAACAUAACUCGGAUGCAGUAGUAUUAAUUUGUAUAUGAAUAUUUCAUUUAAUAAUAAUUAUUGAGACUGUCCUCUAUAUCAGAGGUAAGCAUAUACAGUACAGCCUGCCCUUUAACUCCUUUUUCCUCACAUAACUCAAUUUUCUGUUGAUUAAAUGUUAAACUGAGAAUACAAGUAUACUUGUUAGAUUUGGCUACUUAUUGAAAGCUGCAGUUUUGGCUAGGCACAGUGUGGCUUAUACCUGUAAUCCCAGCACAUUGGAAGGCCGAGGUGGGAGGAUGGCUUGAGACCAGGAGUUUGGGACCAGCCUGGGCAACAUAGCAAGACCCCAUCUCUACAAAAAACAACAAAUAAAAAAAUGAAAAAAAACUGCAGUUUAAAUGUGACUCUAAUCACACUAUUAAACAGUGUACAUUCUUGUAACUAAUACAGAAGUUUGGUUCAUAACAAAUUUAGUUAUUAAUAAAUGAGGCCUCUAUAUGGUAUUCAAAGAAAAUGCUUGUGGAAUGAAAGACAUCUUUUGUGAAUAUACAGUGAGUGGAGUCUCCAAGUCUGUUACUUCUUUAUAGUUCUCUCUCCAACAAAAUAUUAUCUCUGUGGAUGACAGUAGAUCUUCAAUAUCUUGCUCUUACCUAUCUUGAUUAUGUUUAUCCCCAAUUGGUUUCAGUUUCCCUCCUCUGCAAGCAAUUGUCUUUAUUUCAUCAUUCAGAUAGACUGAGCCUUUAGAAAGCUGAUGGAUCAACAGAAGCCAGAAAAUUAUAUAUGCACAUUGUACGUUUAAUACUGGUGUGCAAUCUGAUUACUGUAAGCACAAUGUUUUUAAAAAAAUCUGUUCAAACAGAGUUUAUAUGAAUAGCGACCUUUGUUCUCCCAGGCUUACUUGAGUGGAAAAAAUCCUUUUCAGGCUGUAAAAGAACUUGUGGUACAAUAUUGAUUAAUCAGUAAUGCAAAUUAGCUUUGAGUUUACCAUUCAAAUGUGGAAAAAUAUCUUUGAAUAAAAAAGUGAGACCCUCA